rnacentral:tRNA from 1 species
CGGAAGAUAGUUUAUUUAGAAUACUAACUUUGGGGGUUAGUGGUUAGAGGGUACCUCUAUCUUUCGA